GGAAAUAACUCUUUUCUGUUUGGUUAGGGGAUGGGAGCGAUUUCAAAACUAAUUUGCAUUAGCUACCCUCACUUUAGAAGAUCUUAAAACCUAGUAGGACAUUUAUGUAUAAUGAAAUAUUCCCCCGACAAAUUCCUCCACUUUUGGAGGGAAGACAAAAUUGAGUUAUGAGGGGUUUUGCCCCCUGCAUUCCCCUCCCCUCCUAAAAAUUGAACCAAACAAGAUAAGUGUAAAUGUCUCUUGUGAGGGGCGUGUUAAAUGUUAACGUGUGAAGUUCCACAUUGACUAAAGACAUGACCCUAAUAGCCCCUAUAAAUGGUAGAACAAUUCUCACUAGGAACUAGUGUUUUUAGGUAGUUAGGGUCGCUGAACACUUUGAAGUAGAUAAGUUGACUCUGGCUUAGGUUAUUCUUUUUUUCAUGGUCAAUAUUUUGAAUUUUUUGAAGUGACCAAUGAUUGAUGUUCUGCAGUGAUGUUGCGAAUGGUCCGAGCGUCGAUACUGGUUUGGUCGGAGCACAACCGUGCCCUAACAUCGUGAUGUUGCCUGACGACAAUGGAAAUAUGUUCAACAGUGAAAAUAUCAACAACCCUUGCUUGAUGGCUUCCGCCUCAACCCGCAGGACCCUUACUUCCAUCGUCGUCCUCGUCCGCUUUCACCGGAUAAGCUUGCGCAUGAUGCUGCUUGCAGCUGAAAUUAGAGCACGCUAUGGAGUUGGAGGUGCCAUGGCAAGAGAGAAGGCUGACACUGCUUGAUUUCUACCAUUAUGUGAAGUAAAUGCUUGUGAAGCUGACUAUGGUUUGUGAUCUGUUCGGUUUAGUUUGAUUUGUGUUUAGCAGUAUAUUAUAAAUAUUUUAAUUGUGUUCUGAUGGUGCUACUUGUAUUGCUAUAACCGUGUAAGCAUUAAGCAUACUAUACUAUAAACCAUACUUCUAAUGUUUGGAAGUUCCACAAUACAGCGAGUGCAGUGAACAACAUUCUAUUCUCACAGUGAAUGUUAUGUUUGUAUUGUUUUUA